rnacentral:sRNA from 1 species
UCAGCAGCGAGAGGUGCUGCGGCUCUGCGUAAAAAUAUCAAUCAGCCGGUUGCUUUUGUGAGAAGAAUUCCUUGGACUGUGGCGUCGAGUCAGCUGAAAGAACACUUUGCACAGUUCGGCCAUGUCAGAAGGUGCAUGUUACCUUUUAGAUGGGGUUUCGCCAUGUUGCUUAUGCUGGUCUUGUCAAACUCCUGGGCUCAAGCUAUCCACACACCUCGGCCUCCCAAAAUGUUGAGAUUACAGGUGUGAGCCACUGUGCUGGCUUAUUUUUGUGGAGAUGGGGGUCUUGCCAUGUUGCCCAGGCUGAUCUUGAACUCCUGGCUUCAAGCAAUCCUCCUGCAUUGGCCUUCCAAAGUGCUGGGAUUACAGGCGUGAGCCACCGUGCCCGGCCUACAGUCUUUAUUGAUUACAUUUUGAAUGAUACUGAUUAAAAAGUGAAAAAGC